rnacentral:tRNA from 1 species
UGCGUGUAAUUUAAAAAAAAUACUAAGAUGUGACCUUAAUAAUAGGAACCUCCUCACACAG